CAUUUUGGAAAUGGGCAGGAAGUCAGGCCUGUCGUCACAGUAGCGAGGGAGAAUGAAGCUAAGGCGGUCAUAUUUGAAGUGGUUAAGAAGCCUCAACAGGUGACGUCGGCAACAAGAUAGCGCAGAGAUUGAAGCAAAGAGACAGAUCCAAUGAAAUUUGAAAGUAGCCUGAAAUCUGACAGAACUGUGUGGAAGGCAGCUUCUGGGAAAUAACUGUGUCCAUGAGGAAAUGAGACUAAGGGCCACAAGCCAUGCUGCUUCUUCCGCUAUACCUUCCCCACCACAUUUGAGGGAUUCUUCAAAAUGAACUCUCACUCCCUCAGAGGAGGGGUGGUUGUGGAAAAGUACAUGAAAUGACCACACUGAUACCCUAGAGAUUGAUUGUUCACUGUGUUUAUAAUGUAUUGAGAUUUAUCCCCUCAUUGAACUACUGGCUUCAAAAUGACUUUCAUAUGACAUCAAGUUUUGGGAAAAUGCUGAAUUGUUUGGAGUUUGGAUUUACUAUGUGGACACAUCAUACACAAAUAAUAACAAUAAUAAAUAAAAUAAAAUUAAGAAAAGCCAGGCAGGUGGUGGUG